GUCCCGGGAGCCCGGCCUCGUGCGCCGCGCUUUGAGGACUUCCUAAAGCCAGUCCAGGAGCACAGUUUUUACCUGUUCAGUGGCACAUAUCUGUGAUUGAAACUCUGUUUUUGCAUCUUUAACCACUGAAGGAAGAAUGCAGCAGACUGCUCGACAAACACUGCGCCAAGAGCUCCUCAGCAGAAGCUCCUCGCAUCAGAUCCUCUGUGCUGGGAAUCCUCCCCUCUUGAGCACACUCUGUGCUCCUCUUCCAGUUACGGUGCAUGUGAAGCAAUGGUAUGGGAAAAUUGUUUGCAGAAGGAUGAAAAGGCUUUAUUGCCAAACUGUAAGUACAUGAUUUGAAAUGUUUAUGGUCAAGAGAAAAUAUUUCUACAGCAUCAUGUAAAGCAUGUAGAUACAUUUGCACAUGUGCAUUAACAUGUAAGAACAUGUGCCUCAGACACAUGUGCCCUCCUGGAACAGCUCAUGCUGGCCCCAUGCCUGCUUCCAAGCUUCCAUCAAGUCAGGGAGUGGAGCAAAGAGGGAAGGCAGCCCCUGCACUGUAGGGACCCUUAUGCACAGAGGCAUUGAGACUGCCUGUUCCUCUUGGAAGCUUCUGCUCUCAAGAGGCAGCUAGGUUUUUGGAGCUUCUCUGCUUCAUGUCUUGCUUCCCACCCUAGGGUUCCAGAUUCUGUUCUUCCCUAGUAUUGGCAAGGUUUUUUAUAGAUAGCUCUUGGAUACAUUUGGAAGUAAUGUUUACAAAUGGUGAGAGAGAAGGCAUCUGACAUUUUUUUCUAAACACAUGCCAAUGUUUGUCUUUUCCCCACUAAUUUCAAUAAUUUGGCCUAACACUUUUGUCACAUAUUCUGACUCUUUAUUCUGAUCCAUUUAUCUACUCUGGCAUCCCCACAUGGUUUUAAGUACUGGAGCUUUACUGUAUGUCUUGGUAUCAGGCCAAGCAAACCAUGUUAGUCUUAUUUAAAACUUUCUCAGCAAUUGAUGCAUAUUUGUUUAUCCUGAUGAAUUUUAGAACUUACCAGUACUGACAUCUUCACAGCAUUGUAUCCUGUCAACAACCUAGUCUGAACCUCAAUGGUUCAGGUUUCCUUUGCACAUACAGGCCCUGAGAACUCAUAUGUUAAUGAGAAAGACAUUCCGGGAAACCAGGAGGUGAGGAGACCAAGGAUUAGGCUCCACUCCUAUUAUGAAGAUGAACAGUUUUUAGAGUAUCAUGGAGUUGGAGAAGGUACUUCAAGGAUCUCUAUGGGGAACAAGAAGGAACAGCAAAGUUCCACCAUCCUGUGCCCUUUCUGUUCAGGUUUAUUGUUGUGAAUGAGAAUUUUUUUUUUUUUAACAUGUUGUGGAUCUAUCUAUCUGAUCACCUUAUUGAACUGAGAAUGGUUCUAUGGACUUGACUUUUCUUGGACUGACAACUGUACUGUCUGGAAAUGACAGUUUCUCCUUCCUUUCAGUAUUUGUGCCUGUCUAUCCCACAUCCCUGUACUGGUCAGGAUUUCCAGGACAAUAGUGAAUAAUAGUCGGGACAACAGGCUGGUUCUGAUUCCACUGUUCCUAACAUUCUACCAAGAAGCAUGUUUUUUUUCUAUUUUGGUAGUUUUAUGUUAGGUAGCCUUAUCAAGUUAGGACUUUUUUUUUUUUUAACCCAAGCUAAAGAAAGUACCCAAAAUAAAGAAAUUUUAUCAGGAACAGGUAUAAAUUUUAAGAAACGUAUUUCAACGCCUGCUAAAAUUACCACUUAUUUUUCUAUUAUGGCAACAAAUUACAUUAAUAGAUUUUCACUGUUAUUGUUUAUCCUGGGAGAAAGCAUACUUGUGAACUUUUUUAGGUACUGUGCUUUGGAACCAAAUUUGGAAGUGAGAUGAAAUGUCAGCUGUACUCUCCUGGUUAGGUAUGAUUUCAGGGUCAGGUAUGCCUGAUAAAUGAAGUGAGAUGCUUUAACUUUGUUCUAGAAUAGUUUCUACUGCAUGGGAAUGAUCUGUUCCUUGAGGAUUUGUCACAGUCUGCCCACAGUGGACUGGAUUUGGCAUGUAGGAUGUUAAUUUCUAUUUACUUUGCAAGAAAAAUACAGUUUAGCAAGCAACAGAAACAUACUGAACAUGAACCUCACCGUCCCUCUCUCAGCUGUAGCUCCUUCUGCGUCUGCAACCUGGCUUGUUCCCACGACAAAGGAACAUCAUAUUUUUUCAAAUCGUUUUUAAAAAAAUACACACAUAUCUGACCAUCUUCACUCAGCGCCUCUGAGAAAACAAUACAAAAACAGAUAAAGAGGCCAGCCUGGCCAACCCUGUCUCAAAAAAAAAAAAAA
rnacentral:lncRNA from 10 species